rnacentral:rRNA from 1 species
UUGGAAGUAAAAAUCGUAACAAGGUCUCCGUUGGUGAACCAGCGGAGGGAUCAUUACCGAAGUUACUCUUCAAAACCCAUUGUGAACCUUACCUCUUGCCGCGCGUUGCCUCGGCGGGGAGGCGGGGUCUGGGUCGGCGCGCCCCUCACCGGGCCGCCGUCCCCGUCCCCGUCCCCGCCGGCCGCGCCAAACUCUAAAUUUGAAAAAGCGUACUGCACGUUCUGAUUCAAAACAAAAAACAAGUCAAAACUUUUAACAACGGAUCUCUUGGUUCUGGCAUCGAUGAAGAACGCAGCGAAAUGCGAUAAGUAAUGUGAAUUGCAGAAUUCAGUGAAUCAUCGAAUCUUUGAACGCACAUUGCGCCCGGCAGCAAUCUGCCGGGCAUGCCUGUCCGAGCGUCAUUUCUUCCCUCGAGCGCGGCUAGCCCUACGGGGCCUGCCGUCGCCCGGUGUUGGGGCUCUACGGGUGGGGCUCGUCCCCCCCGCAGUCCCCGAAAUGUAGUGGCGGUCCAGCCGCGGCGCCCCCUGCGUAGUAGAUCCUACAUCUCGCAUCGGGUCCCGGCGAAGGCCAGCCGUCGAACCUUUUAUUUCAUGGUUUGACCUCNGAUCAGGUAGGGUUACCCGCUGAACUUAAGCAUAUCAAUAAGCGGAGGAAA